CGGCUCCACUUCGCUUCCGCGUCAACCUCAGCGUGCUGAGGGCGGGGCCCUUGGCGCCCCGCCAGCCGCGCUGUCACCUCAGCUGGUGAGCUAGGGUGGGACAGCAACUAACUAGCCUCCUCACCUGUCCCCAACUUCCUAGGUGUGAGGCCUGCGGCUGCCCCUCGUGGCCGUGGGACCGAGUGGACGCGGCCCUGGAUGCUGGGCUUUCUCGUGGGAAAUGGGCCUCAGCCAGGGUAAUGGGACUGCUGCCCAGAAGGACAGGGCUCCUUAGAAGGCGCCUGCCACUCUCCUUGCUUUGAGGGACCGCCUCCAAGGGCCUCCUGGACUGACAGCUGCUGGCGAGGGCUUUCCUGGGCAUAUGUUGUGAGCUCUGCCCCAGCCUCAGGUUGGGAAGUGGGACCUUCCUUCAAGCAGGCACGACACUCAGGGUAGCACUGCCCUGUGGUGGCCCUGUGCAGUCAGCUAUGUGGUAGAAAACAGACUCUCCCAGGGUGCUGGGACUAAGCACCUAAGAAAAGAAACCACACCAAAAAAAGCCAAGGACCCUCGCUUCCCAGGCUCCCCAUGAGAUUGGCCUUGGAAUCCCCAGAGCUGCUGUGCCCUGAUGUCCUUCCUCCAAGAAGCCUUCCUGCUUAACUGCUGAAGCGUUUGCUGUCACCCUGACCUCCAUUACUGUUUCCAUACACUCCCAUUAACUAAGGUAACCUGGAAGGAUAACUCAGUUCCCUGUUGUUUGGAAUGGCCAAAAGGAUGCAAAGAGGCAGCACAAGGUAUGGAUCAAAUAGAUGGUAGCUGAUUGUAUUAAGUAAAGGAAGUGUCAAGUAAGUGGAAGAAUUGUCACUGCAGAUAUGAUGGCGCCCUCCCUAAUAUUGUGUUUUAUUUCUCUUCUUCAGUGUGUAGUGGCUGUGGUUGGUUCGGGGAUAAUACAUGCUCUAAGGUGUACAGUCACUGAGAUUCAAGACUUCGGUUAAUGUUUUGAUUUAGAUAUAAUGCCCCCACCCUUGGGAUAUGAUUGAAGAAACACAGCAGCUC
rnacentral:lncRNA from 1 species